AUGCUUUAAACUUAUGAGUAAGGAAAAUAACGAUUCGGGGUGAUGCUGGAGUCCUCACUGCUAAUGUGAGAAGAAUUUUUGAGCCGGUAAAGGAUACCCCAUAAGGCGACCCUCCUACUUUGUGGGAUGCCUGGGUGCAGUAGUCUGCCCA
ensembl:snRNA U12 U12 minor spliceosomal RNA